GAUGACUAUGGUUCAAACAGUCAGAAAGCUUUUUCAUACGAGCCCUCCCCCCCCCACCCUUCAAGUUUGUCAUGACUGAAUAAAAGAAAGGUAUAGCAUUGUUUUUAGACCGCCUAUUUCAAGGUGAAGCGAAGGGCUCAAUUUUCCACAAUAUCCAUUUGAAAACGUGCCAUUUUCCCAAAUGAGUUAUGAGUAUAAAAUCACUGAUUUCGACGCACUCGUAUUUCAUGUUUGCAUCCUCAAAAUUAAUAUCUUAAACAUUGUGUGGAUAAGAUUCUAUUUGCAGAACUAUUUUCAGCUUACCAUGAAUUCGUACUAGAUAGCAUCUUCUUAGCUGUUUGCUCGAGGCACACACCAUGUGUUCGAUAAUACAAAUGCCAAUUUUUUGCACCCCCCCCUGCACCCCCUAGUAAAUCCACCACUGUUAAAUAAUACAAAGAUCAUCCAUGCAUAGAGCGCACACCCCCCCC